rnacentral:lncRNA from 1 species
CUUCUUUCUCACUGAACAAAGCAGUAAACUGGAAGCAGCCUGGAAUGCUAUCAAUGUCUUCAAAGGCUGAAAGGACACAGAGCAAGAUGAUCACUCUCCUGUUCCUAUGUAACUCACCAUUACGGCUUCUUCAAAACAACAGACGGAAGUAGAAUACAGAGCAUUGCAGUGAACCACUGGAAAUGUAACCAAGCAUGGUCUGAAUCAUUGUGCUGUGCUAUGCUGAGCUGUGCUGAGCUGUGCUGAGCUGUGCUGAGCUGUGCUGUGCUGUGCUGUGCCUGAUGGCUUUCAACCAGAUUAUUGUGGCCACUGACACCUGAUAUUCAGCUAGUGAUCUGGUGCAUGCCCUUCAUAGCUCCAUCAGGAAGGAUGAUUCACAGGCAGUGUUCACCUGGAAUAUUGGCCACACGUUUUUUCUUCUGUUCUAUCUUUGGCUUUCCUCUUUGACCACUUUCAUUUUCCCAAUCCUUCCAUUCCUUUGAUUGCCUUCCAGGUACCUCCAACUAAGAAAGUUGGCCUAGGGCCUAGACCUGGCCAAUAAAAAUCUUGCAUCUGCUGGGAUUCAGAGAUAAACAGAAAACUAAAGUCAUGCUUGCUGCGGUUAUAGCCAAUGAAUUAUCCUGCAGUUAUGAUUAUGGCUGUGAAAUAGAUCUUUCUUUUUGAUGUUUUUUUGACUAAGUUAGAUGUAUUCCAGGAGUUACUGGAGGCCUUGCAGAGAUUGGAGACCAACCAAAGAGAGCAGAGCCAUGCAGGUAGGAUGACUGGAUCUUAGUGACACUAUUUGCAGGUGAGAUCAGAUCCCUCCCAUUGUAGGUUUCUGAACUUCUAAGAGCAGUACUUGCUAAGGGUUCUCUCUCUCUCUCUCUCUCUCUCUCACUCUCUCUCUCUCUCUCUCUCUAACUGGGCCUUUACUAUUUUCCUUAUUUUUAAAGGGGAACAAACUAAGUAGGUUAACCCAGGCUUAGAGCACUUAAGAGGCCUCCUCUAUAGAUGUAGCCUACUCUACUUUGCUUCUCUGUUGCAGUAUUAAAUAAAACACGGACAGAAACCAACCGGGGAGGAAAGGGUUUAUUUGGCUUCUGCGUUCAUGUCACAGGCAACACUGAGGGAAGCCAAGGCAAGAAAGCUGCUGACUGGCUUGCUCCUUAUGUCUUUCUCAGCCUACUUUCUUAUAGCACCAGGGAUCACCAGCCCACGGGUAAUGCUGCUCAAAGUGGGGUCAUCCCUCCCAGGUCAAUCAGUAACAACAACAACAUAAACAACAACACAGCUAUACCGACAGGAUACUCUAAUAGAAGCAAUUCUUCAAUUAAAGGUCCCUUUCCCCAGCUGACUCUAGUUUGUGUCAAGUUGACAGAAACUACCAAGCACAGCUUGCUUCCCACUUUGUUGACAGAAAAGGACAGAGAAAAAUGACAAUAUACAGUGGUUUAGUUAUACUUUAUUUAAUUAGGGUUGUUAAGUUUUAAAGCAUUUUUCUUUUCAAAUGAGACAUAAAAGUUUCCCUCCCCCCCCCCCCCGAGGGUAGAAAAUUAACGCACUAUAUCUAGAACAUUUAGCCUUCCAAGAAUUUACUGGCAGUUGUUUUGUAGAUCUCAAUAUUAUUAAUAUGAGUGGCUAUGGCAUUCUCAAGAAACAACUAGUAGAUUUAAGUGCUUUACGAAUGAAAGGAUGAAGACCUGAGCUUCUGUUCUGUAUUUAAACACAGUUUCUCUACACUCAAGCCCACGACUGUUCACAAAUCAAUAAAGAAGGCUCAUGACACUC